UACGUAGGGUGCGAGCGUUGUCCGGAAUUAUUGGGCGUAAAGAGCUUGUAGGCGGUUUGUCGCGUCUGCUGUGAAAUUCCGGGGCUCAACUCCGGACUUGCAGUGGGUACGGGCAGGCUAGAGUGUGGUAGGGGAGACUGGAAUUCCUGGUGUAGCGGUGAAAUGCGCAGAUAUCAGGAGGAACACCGAUGGCGAAGGCAGGUCUCUGGGCCAUUACUGACGCUGAGAAGCGAAAGCAUGGGGAGCGAACAGG
rnacentral:rRNA from 1 species